GGCCCCAGGGAUCCAAGUCCCCUCACCAUGUCUCUUGCACAGUAAUAUGUGGCCGUGUCCUCGGUCUUCAGGCUGUUCAUCUGCAGAUACAGCGUGUUCUUGGCGUUGUCUCUGGAGAUGGUGAAUCGGCCCUUCACGGAGUCUGCGUACCUUGUGUCACUCCCUCCAUCAGAAAUGUACUGACU